rnacentral:rRNA from 1 species
UACGUAGGGGGCAAGCGUUGUCCGGAAUUAUUGGGCGUAAAGCGCGCGCAGGCGGCCUUGUAAGUCUGUCGUUUAAACUCGGAGCUCAACUUCGAGUCGCGAUGGAAACUGCAAAGCUUGAGUGCAGAAGAGGAAGUGGAAUUCCACGUGUAGCGGUGAAAUGCGUAGAGAUGUGGAGGAACACCAGUGGCGAAGGCGACUUUCUGGGCUGUAACUGACGCUGAGGCGCGAAAGCGUGGGGAGCAAACAGG